CCGGUGGCUCAGUUGGUUAGAGCGCUGCCCUGUCACGGCAGAGGUCAGGGGUUCGAGUCCCCUUCG
rnacentral:tRNA from 1 species